rnacentral:rRNA from 1 species
UACGAAGGGGGCUAGCGUUGCUCGGAAUCACUGGGCGUAAAGCGCACGUAGGCGGCUUGUUAAGUCAGGGGUGAAAUCCUGGAGCUCAACUCCAGAACUGCCUUUGAUACUGUCGGGCUAGAGUACGGAAGAGGCAAGUGGAAUUCCCGGUGUAGAGGUGAAAUUCGUAGAUAUCGGGAGGAACACCGGUGGCGAAGGCGGCGACCUGGGUCGAGACUGACGCUGAGGCGCGAAAGCGUGGGGAGCAAACAGG